UACGAAGGGGGCUAGCGUUGCUCGGAAUCACUGGGCGUAAAGCGCACGUAGGCGGGUUGUUAAGUCGGGGGUGAAAUCCUGGAGCUCAACUCCAGAACUGCCUUCGAUACUGGUGACCUUGAGUCCGGGAGAGGUGAGUGGAACUCCGAGUGUAGAGGUGAAAUUCGUAGAUAUUCGGAAGAACACCAGUGGCGAAGGCGGCUCACUGGCCCGGUACUGACGCUGAGGUGCGAAAGCGUGGGGAGCAAACAGG
rnacentral:rRNA from 1 species